rnacentral:rRNA from 1 species
GAUGAACGCUGGCGGCGUGCCUAAUACAUGCAAGUCGAGCGAACGGACGAGAAGCUUGCUUUUCUGAUGUUAGCGGCGGACGGGUGAGUAACACGUGGAUAACCUACCUAUAAGACUGGGAUAACUUCGGGAAACCGGAGCUAAUACCGGAUAAUAUUUUGAACCGCAUGGUUCAAAAGUGAAAGACGGUCUUGCUGUCACUUAUAGAUGGAUCCGCGCUGCAUUAGCUAGUUGGUAAGGUAACGGCUUACCAAGGCAACGAUGCAUAGCCGACCUGAGAGGGUGAUCGGCCACACUGGAACUGAGACACGGUCCAGACUCCGACGGGAGGCAGCAGUAGGGAAUCUUCCGCAAUGGGUGAAAGCCUGACGGAGCAACGCCGCGUGAGUGAUGAAGGUCUUCGGAUCGUAAAACUCUGUUAUUAGGGAAGAACAUAUGUGUAAGUAACUGUGCACAUCUUGACGGUACCUAAUCAGAAAGCCACGGCUAACUACGU